AUCAAGGGACGCGCGGAGCCGAGCUGGGCUUCAGACCACCGUCCUCAGCGCUCCAACAAUUGCCAAUAGGCCUACCUUGUUUGGUUAUUCUGUUGAUCACAGCUGACUUUUUCCUGAAUCCAUUCUUGUGAAAGGUGCACAAAGUUAAAAGGCAGGUCAUGGGCAUCAUCAGGAAAGGUUCGCUAGCGC